UGCCCGUGCUCUGCCUGCGCCUCCCCGGCCGCCGCCGCCGCCGGCCCCCAGCCCCCCCUUCGGCCGCCCUUUGCUCCGCGCCCCCGUGGAUCGGGAGGUCCGGCCCUGCCUGCAGCACCUUUGCCUGCAGCACACUCCCCUGCCUGCGCACCCCAAUGCCUCUGCCCUUAAACCCAUCGCACCCCGUGUCCAACAGCUUGCCCAUCUCUGGCGUCCCACUGGCAGAUCCUCCUGUCCUUGCUCGAAAUGACUUGAGGAGUUCCUUCAGGGAGAGGAAAACCAUCUCGCUCAGGAACCAAGGACUUAUUUUUGUUCCUUCUGACCAAGUCACAGAAGUGACCUCGUGUGCCAUGACGUGCUGCAAGAGGGAUCGGCGUGCGCUGGUGGAGCGGUUCCUGCCUGUGCUCCAUCGCCACGUGCCAGGGAUGAGGCACCGUGAGACUGGAAUAAACCCAAAAUCCAAUAAAGCACUGAUGAACUCUCUUUAAAGUAUCAUUUGGCUUUUAGAAGUCGCCUAGCAAGAAAACUGAGCAGCUGCUACGGAGACAAGUGAAGAGCAUCACAGAACUGGCUGCAGUCAGCAGGGCACUAAGGCAGUCUGCUCGGUGCGGUGAGAUGAUCCAUCACGAACAGGGUAGUUGAGAAAAUAAUGCAUAAUUUGGUUGAAAAUUGCUUCUGUACUUUUCAAGCCACGGUGGAAUCAUUUUGCUCACCAUUUGCUAGGACCCAAGUGGAAAUUACUAACAGCUUUCAGGUCAUCAGCCCUUAAAACUGGUGAGAUGCAAGGUAACUGUUGUGGCCAGGUAGUUGAAUUAAUAACUGGGUGUUCAUUAAUUACACCUGUACGGGGGCUGAGCACGACUGAAAAAUAACUUUCAACAUUUUUAACGAUGGGAACGAUGGACAGAGACUGUCAGUAGUGAUGUACCAAAAGCUCCUUCCCAACAGGCUGACUCUCCUGAGAUGAUCUCAAAGGUAUGGAUAUUCAGGACCAAAGUGAUGGAGCAAAGGCCAGGUGCCAGAGGUGGACUCCCAAGAGAGCCCUGAGGAGCCGUACUUAAUGAAGCAGGAAAAAGAAAGGGUCAGCUUCUCUUGGCCCCAGAAAGCAGCUCUGCUGGGGAGGGAGUACCUGCCUUUUGUGCGAUUGAUAUGCUGGAACUAAAGUGUGACCACCAAAAUAAAUUACUUAAGGGGUUACUACAGAAAACAUUAUUUUUUUUAUAACUCGUGAGGUUCAGCAGAGAGCAGAGAGCUGCUGCACUGCUGUGCAAGGGGUGCCAGCAGAGUCGCAGCCCUGCGCUCUCCCUCCAGUCUCCACUCACCAUGCUCAGUGCCGUGCUGGACCCAGAUGCUCUUAAUACCCAGUUUUAAAUCAAUUUGUGCUUGUAAACCACCUUACCAGUUGAUUUUCAUGCUUUUCUGUAUAUGCUAAACCCAUGACUACCCCUGACUAUAUCAAUCUGCGUGUGCUAAUGCUCAGCAGCUCCCUCAAGCUACGCCACCUGCCGUGGGGACCCCCUUUGUGCCCAGGGGACCGGGGAGGUGCUGUGGGGUCCCAUGGGGACUGGAGCAUCCCUCGCACUGGGAGAGGCACAAACUGACCCAGAGGAAACUCCACCUGCACACGGUGAGGAGAGACCAGUGCCCUGUUUCCUUUUUCCCCAUGUGCUUUUAAAGUUUAUUUGUUCUACUCUUGACAGGAAAGCAGGUCAGCAAAGGGCACAGCGCUUCACAUCCACCCCAGCAGACGUUGCUUUUGCAGCCGCCACGGCAGAGGGUGCUCCCCCACCGCCGGUGGGGUUUCUGCCAAAGGUCAAGGUACGCUUUUUCCCCCUCCCCUACAAUGAAUUUCUGCGUUACGCGCUGGCAGGGCAUCAGGACAUCCAGCAGUGAUUCAGCCGCUGUUUCGAAGCGCAUCACAUACCACAGCAAUCUGUCAUUCCCGCGUAACAGGGCAACAUUACACACGCCAGGGAGCAUCUGACCAGGGGCUCUUUCUAGACCGACAAGUGGAGUGAUUCAGCAGCAGGAAACAUCCAGACAAAAGGCUCUCCCUGCUGCAAGGCUACCGGAGCCGAUGCUUUCCCAAAUUCUAGAUACAGCUUUAACGUGGAUUUUAGGGUGCGCCUCUGCACACCACCCCCCACCGACACAACAUCCCCAUUUUCUUUCACGCCUCUGUAGAGGAAAAUGCUCACUCUCAUCCCCACCAGAGCACAGCUCCGCAAAAGAUCCAAACCUAACCAAAAGCACCAGGUAUCACUCUGCGGGGAAGGGUCGGGAGGAUGCUCUUCUGGCAGCUACAAGCCAUCAGAUAACUGCCAGGAACUGCACCGCGAGUUGCAAAAUCCUCAUUUCACUAAAACAUAGACGCGUACCGAAGGACACGUGUUCUUGACUCUGCAUUUGUCAACCCCUGCUGAGUAAUUCAAAGGAAGCGUAAGGCCGUGACUAAGAAAACGCGGUGAAAAAGAAUGAGAAGACUGCAAAGGUCAUCUCCAGUGGCGGGGACUUCACCUUCCCACGGAACAGUCCUGCACCGUCCAAAAUGCGAACCACAGCACCAUAGCCCCGCAACGCUCGCGCCAGGCAGGGAGCUGGGCGGGGAUCGGGGCGCUCUCAGCGUGGGGCAGUGCUGCAUACCCCACAGGGUGCGUAGAAAGGAGCACCAACUUGGCUAGGGAUGGGAUGGUACUGCUGAAAGCCCAUUGGCCAGUCUUACAUCCAGACAGAAAAAACUGAUACAGAUUCUUAAAAAAUAUCCAGGUGUUUGCAAAAACCUUCCUAAGACACCUGGGAUACUGUUAGCCACCUUCGUCUCCAGGCAGCUGCAGCAGGUAAGGCUUAUUUCUUCAGUCUCUUGCUUCAUGCAAUUGCUUAUUAUUUGCCAAACUGCUUCCGAGGGCAAAAGUGGAAAGCAUUUUCUUCCCCACAUCAGUAGAGAACAUAGGUUUUUUUGACUUCAGAAAGUAUACUACUACGUCUAUGCAAAGAAAAACCCAACACACUCUCAGUGUAAGCUGACGUGGAAAGCUCAAUGCACCUCCUCCAAAGACUGAAAAUAUAAUUAAAGCAUAGAUUUACUGUGCAGGAUGACAAGAUACACUAUGGAGUGUUUGCCUAAGAUCAUUUAAAUACAAUAGAUAAUGUAAUAGCUGAAAUCCAAAAUGAGUGAUUCUGUGCCCAUUUUAAAAUGAGAAAUGGACAAAGAACCUUAAGGGCAUUUAUCCUUCACGGCACAGCAAAUGACUGGCCCCUCCCAAGAGAAAUGGGAUGUAGCUCAGAGUACACCAGCACUUGCCCUGGGAUUACCUGUUUUUUGUUAGGCCGACAAGACUAUUAACAACAGCUCCCACUGAGUAAAAAUUUCAGGGUAAAACAGGUACAAGGUAAAACAACACAGUGGAAAUCAAACAAAAGGUCACAAGGCUGCAGGUCAACAGGGUCCUGUAACUGCUCUUAGUCCAUGAAAAAAAGUGUGGAAAUCACUACCCAGGAAAGAGGUAGAGGAACUUGGGUUCAAAAGCUGAGAGAACAGUGGCAGAUGUAGCGUCACUGCUCUUGCUCGGUUUUCCAGUCUUCCAUGUGUGGUCACCAUCAGAGCUAUGACACAAGGCUGAUGGAAGUUCUAGUCUGACAGAAGCGCUCCAAAUUUUGCGCAUCAUUUUCCAGUAAGCGUAUGAAGUGCAUGAACCCGAGUAGGCAAAAUGGCACGGUAGUGGUAGGAGAUUGUAACCUGAUAGCUAUAUCCACAUAUGCGGCUAAAAUGCGAUAAAUGUGUACUCUUUAAAAGGACAAUCAUCAGUGAAUAAGAAAAAGUCAAUGUUAUUUCAUUGCCUAAGUGUACAGUUAUCUACUUCCACUGAAGCCCUCUCUGUGUGUUACAGACAAUAGUCUGCUAACAGCUCACCCACCUGAAAGCUCAACAGUGUUACCAAGAGUUUAUUACAAGUCUUGCUCCGUGCCUACAGUGCUGCAGAACGACACCCCUUGCUCCUGCAGUUUGCACAGGGACUUCUCUACACCCUGGGUUUACACAGUUUUUCAGAUCUAGAAUGA